rnacentral:rRNA from 1 species
UACGUAGGGUGCAAGCGUUAAUCGGAAUUAUUGGGCGUAAAGCGCGCGCAGGCGGUUUUGUAAGUCUGGUGUUUAAACUGGGGGCUCAACCUCCAGUCGCAUUGGAAACUGCAAGGCUUGAGUACAGAAGAGGAAAGUGGAAUUCCACGUGUAGCGGUGAAAUGCGUAGAGAUCGGGAAGAACACCAGUGGCGAAGGCGACGUGCUGGGUUGCAACUGACGCUGAGAUGCGAAAGUGUGGGGAGCAAACGGG